rnacentral:rRNA from 1 species
UGGGGAAUAUUGGACAAUGGGCGAAAGCCUGAUCCAGCCAUGCCGCGUGGAUGAUGAAGGCCUUAGGGUUGUAAAGUCCUUUCGGCGGGGAAGAUAAUGACGGUACCCGCAGAAGAAGCCCCGGCUAACUUCGUGCCAGCAGCCGCGGUAAUACGAAGGGGGCUAGCGUUGCGCGGAAUCACUGGGCGUAAAGCGCACGUAGGCGGCUUCUUAAGUCAGGGGUGAAAUCCUGGAGCUCAACUCCAGAACUGCCUCUGAUACUGAGGAGCUUGAGUCCGGGAGAGGUGAGUGGAACUCCGAGUGUAGAGGUGAAAUUCGUAGAUAUUCGGAAGAACACCAGUGGCGAAGGCGGCUCACUGGCCCGGUACUGACGCUGAGGUGCGAAAGCGUGGGGAGCAAACAGGAUUAGAUACCCACGUAGUCCCUGAGCGGGCUGGCAAGGCGCAU